UGAAAAACUAUUUGGUUACUGAACAAUCUAUUUCUUGGUGAUGUUUCUUAAUUUUGAUUAGUGUUGACUUUAAUCUAAAGUUGAUAGGUUACUCAUAUCAUAUGACUAUGUUACAUAUAUAUGCUAUAUGUAAAAAAUGUGGAGGUAAAUGUGGCACAAUUUGAUUCUAUUCAUUUGGCACAAUUGAUAUCAUCCGAAAAACAAAGAGUGGCAAAAAAUGAUACCUUUUCAAAACUGUAAUUGGCGUAAAUUGAUUCUGCCUGCUCAAUUAAGACCAAGGUCCCUGAAGCAAUAAUAAUCAGAUAUGCUCUUUCUAUUUUUAGAUUACUUUUUGAUAUAGCCC
rnacentral:lncRNA from 1 species